UUACCUUGUGAGUGAUGGGGAAAAUUACACAUAGAGGUCAUAUAUCAAAUGUUCAUGAAUGCUUGAUAUUUGGCCUUUUUCCAUGGGAAAAAAAAUUGUCAAACUUGUGCGACCCCUAGUGUUCAGUUUAGUAGACAUUUUAGUCAGAUUUGGCUAAUGGCAUCCAAACCUUCCAACAAUUUUAAUGAAAAUCUGUUUAUACCUUGUCAAAAUAACAUGCAGAAAUUUAACCUGCUACUUUGGCUGAAGUAAUGAGAGAUGUGAUGCCUGCAGCUAUAAAGUCCAUGCAGGAAGACCUCGUUCACCUUCUCUUUGAAGUGCGUGUUGAUUGUUAAGUGUGUGCGUGUGCAUGUUGGUGUGUUUGUGUGUCCCUGAGGUUUUCUGUAUGUUUCUGCCUCUUCAUUUUAACAUGAAUACAUUGUCCUCUAUAGACCUCUGUGCACAUCAAAGCCAUGACUGAGCCUUCAAAGGCUCAUCUCUCUACUGUGCCUAGUCAGAACUUUUAACAUCAUCUCUGCAGGCAAGAGAGAUCUCAAACACACACACACACACACACACACACUUCCCCACUUGACUUUACUGACAUAUAUGAA